UAGGGAAUCUUCCACAAUGGACGCAAGUCUGAUGGAGCAACGCCGCGUGAGUGAAGAAGGUUUUCGGACCGUAAAGCUCUGUUGUUGGUGAAGAAGGAUAGAGGUAGUAACUGGCCUUUAUUUGACGGUAAUCAACCAGAAAGUCACGGCUAACUACGUGCCAGCAACCGCGGUAAUACGUAGGUGGCAAGCGUUGUCCGGAUUUAUUGGGCGUAAAGCGAGCGCAGGCGGAAGAAUAAGUCUGAUGUGAAAGCCCUCGGCUUAACCGAGGAAUUGCAUCGGAAACUGUUUUUCUUGAGUGCAGAAGAGGAGAGUAGAACUCCAUGUGUAGCGGUGGAAUGCGUAGAUAUAUGGAAGAAUACCAGUGGCGAAGGCGGCUCUCUGGUCUGCAACUGACGCUGAGGCUCGAAAGCAUGGGUAGCGAACAGGAUUAGAUACCCUGGUAGUCCAUGCCGUAAACGAUGAGUGCUAAGUGUUGGGAGGCUUCCGCCUCUCAGUGCUGCAGCUAACGCAUUAAGCACUCCGCCUGGGGGAGUACGACCGCAAGGUUGAAAC
rnacentral:rRNA from 1 species